UGCAGACAGAAAAGGAUCACACUCCUCUCUCAGACACAUUAUAAGAAAUUUUAUACAAGGCCUGUGCAUUUUCAAAACACAGGAUUGACCUAAUGAGCAGGAAUUUGAGACCAGCCAAAAGACAAAACAGCAAUAGACAAAUGCAUUCUCUUUUUAGUUUUCUUCAACGGAUAUAUUUCAUUUUUAAGCCUAUCUACCCCCUCCCCCGAUUUGAAGACAUCCCUCGGGCUACGUGGGGAGGAAAGCCUGUGUGACUGAUCGCUGCAGUGACUGCUCUUGGCCAUGACUGUUACUGCCAUUUUGGCCUCUCUGAAAAGUGAGGCAGCCUAAGCCUCACAGAUAUGUUUCCUGGUCACAUUUUUGUUGUCUCUACAGAAAGAGAAGCAAACGAUAUCACCAAAGUCCUAACUCUAUCCUCCCACUCUGUGAACUACAGAAAAGGAAGCAGCAGAAGAAAUAAUAGAGGGAAUAACAAAGUGACAGAAGCAUAGAGGGAAAAGCAGCAGGUGGCUUUUCAUCAAGGGGCCUUUGGGUAAGAUUUACAGGAGACAAUGUUUUCUCUGCGCCUCUGGGACUUGAAAGGUCAUGGAAAGAGGACUCACUCGCGACAGAAUUCAAACACUCGUAGUUGUGUCUCAAAGUCCUCCGCGGACAUCACCAGAAGGCAUGGUUUCAGGGGUGUUUUUCAGAAGGGCGAUGGAUUUCUUUGGAUCCACGUAGUCUCUCUUAUCUGGUUAGAGUUUCUUCUUUUUCUUUUUGUUCUUUUUUGACACAGAGUCUCACUCUGUCGCCCAGGCUGCAGGGCAGUGGCACCAUCUUGGCUCGCUGCAACCUCCGCGUCCUGGGUUCAAGCAAUUCUCCUGCCUCAGCCUCCCGAGUAGCUGGGACUAGAGGUGUGCACCACCAUGCCUGGCUAAUUUUUGUAUUUUUAGUAGAGACAGAGUUUCACCAUGUUGGCCAGGCUGGUUCUCGAACUUCUGACCUCAAGUGGUCCUCCUGCCUCGGCUUCCCAGAGUGCUGGGAUUACAGGUGUGGGCCACCGCGCCCGGCCUUAUCUGGUUAGAGUUUCUUAGGUGGGAAUGGAGUUAGCAGUCCCAGACCAGGCCAAGUUAGGACAAGCUGAGAAAUGCAUCCUGUGGUUGACACAUGGUGAGGAAUACCCAAGCAAAAUACUCUUGUGUGAGGCUUAGACUCUGUAAGAAUCUACCACUUUAUGAAGAGACUUUCUUCUCCCAUCUACCAGAUUUUCCACCAAAUUUGUUGCAGCCUUGUUAUGGGCUGAAUUGUGCCCUCUUAAAUUCAUGUAUCGAAGGACUGGCCCCCUAGGACCUCAGAAUGUGCCUGUGCCCUGUAUUUGAAGACAGGGACUUUAAAGAGGGGAAAAGUUAAACUGAAGUCAUUAGGGUGGGCCUUAAUCCAAUCUAGCUGGUGUCCUUAAGAAGAGUGCCGGGCGCAGUGGCUCACGCCUAUGAUGCCACUGCACUCCAGCCUGGGCAACAGUGUGAGACUUGUCUCGAAACAAAAAAGGAGGAAAUUUGGACACACAAAAAAGACACCAGACACCAGGGAUGCAUUCAUAGAGGAAAGGCCAUAUGAGAUCACAGCAAGAAGGUGGCCGUCGGCAAGACAAGGAGGAAGGCUUCAGAAGAAACCAGACCUGCUCUCACCUUGAUCUUGGACCUCGAGCCUGGAGAACUUUGAGAAAUAAAUUUCUGCCAUCAAAGCCACCAGUCUGUGGUACUUUGUUAUGGAAGCCCAAGCAGACUAAUACAACCUGCAGGCUUUAAACGAUGAACAAGGGAUGUGACUUUAUUGUAGGACCAGUAAUUUGAAUUUCUUGCAAACGCUUGAGUGUAAGCAUUAGUCAAUAGUCAGUGAUCUGACUGGAAAGAAGCAGAGGGCACAAGUUCAUGGCAGUGUGCUCAGGGGUACCUGGCCCCUCUGUGAAGAGCCCCAUAGAAGACAAGGCACUUGGGCCCUGUCUCAGGGGCAGCACAAGCUUCCAGGACACCACCGUCACUGGUCACUUGCUGCUCCCCACUGUGGCCCUGGACAGAUGAGUCAGGCCCAUGGUGGUCAGGGCAGUGGUUUCUCCUCGUCCUCCCCCAGCCUGCACUACUCCGUGCCUGGAGCUGUGAAAAAUUGGCCUUUGCUCGGGCGCGGUGGCUCACACCUGUAAUCCCAGCACUUUGGGAGGUCGAAGUGGGCACAUCAGGAGCUCGAGACCAGCCUGGCCAACAUGGUGAAACCCCGUCUCUACCGAAAAUACAAAAAAUUAGCCGGGCACGGUGGAGGGCGCCGGUAAUCCCAGCUACUUGGGAGGCUGAGGCAGGAGAAUCACUUGAACCCAGGAGGCGGAGGUUGCAGUGAGCUGAGACCGUAACACUGCACUCUAGCCUGGGUAACAGAGUGAGACUCAGUUUCAAAAAAAAAACAAGGUCUUUGCUGCUUCCACAGAUGCUCACAUUUCUCCCUGGCUCAUUUUAAGCUGUGCUAAAAUCUGGUAACAAAGCUUGCUUUUAUUUAAGGUACAUUUUGUAAGUUUUCGGGUGGCCCACUGUAAGGUAGAGAGCCCUGCUCUUGGUGACUUGCUUUGGAACUAGAAAAUUAGCAUCUAGCUGUACCAUAUCUGGGCACAUGACUGGGGCUUCAUCAGGUAGGGCUGGGCUUUCAUGAAGUAAGUUGCAGCUCAGGGCCUCGGCGUGCGAGGAGUGCAGUUGCUGUGUGUGACUGGCUCUGUCACCAGGAGCCCCGCGUAUUCUUCAGGGAGAAUUUUCAAUCAUGCUGGUUUUGAUUUAGGCAAUAUGGUCUUGAAAAUAUUUUCAUAGUCUAGUCUCCAUCAAUCUUAUUCUUCCACACUGACAUCUGCUUCCAGAAUUUGGAGUAAGGCGAGCUGGGAAGUAGGGCUCUGAAAUCUUGAAGGACUGCCUAAGCCCCCCCACCACACAGAAGCAAAAGCAGCCUCCACAGGAUGCCAGCUUAGCAAGGGAGGCCUCACGAGCAAUUUUAAGGACCUCAGCACUGAUGACGAGAGAUGGUGUGUUACGGAUUUUGCAUCUGCAGUUUUGCCAUUAGUGGCAUUUUAGGAAUAAAUAAGGUUGAUAUGUUAACUACCUCAAAAUAAUUUUCCCAUUCAAUUAGAUUUUGUUAGUGAACUCACUCAUCAGUUUGGAUAGUUCAAGUAGUAUACUGAAAAAUGAUAGCUAAACCUGGCUUAUGAUUAGAGCUGGUUUACAUUUUGCCUUCGGCAAGUGGAGGAUUUCCCUAGGCUGUUUCUGGAGCCUCAUUUAUUGAUGAGCUUCUGUGCCCUACUCCAAGAAGCACCUUUCCACCUGAGAAUGAGGGGCCCCAUUUACAAUAUUCUUGGAUGAGGACCUGGGGAAGAAUGCAGGAGAGCCCCAAGCUAAGAUGGUAUUCAAACUCAGAGCACGGCAGAAAGUUCCCAAAAAGAUGUUAGAAGUAUGGCUCGGCUUGCUGCUGUUUUGGCUUUUAAAAAAAGAUUAUAGCAAGAACCUUUUAGGGAACUCCACAGCCACCAGUAGGGAUCGGCAGGCACAUUGCCCCAGCUAACCACUGGAGUGGUGUUCAGGGAGGGUUUGGGAUGUGGAUGCUGCUCCAAGCCAUCUGGGAGGGAGACAGGUGCAGGGACAGUCAGCAUGAAAGCAACUGGGGACUGGGAUUGCCAUAGCUCAACAGCCUGAUGAUGGCCUGAGGUUGUUGCCAAGAGCAGCUCCUAGGAACUGCUCCUUCUCUGAGCCACCCUCUGGGAACAGCAGAGCUGUCAGAGAAGAUUUAAUUGUUUUGAUCUUCCUGCCUUCUUGAUAUCCCAUUGAGAGUCACCCUUCAGGGAGAAGGAGAUAGAGUCGUCAUUUUGUAUUAAGCAAUGACAAGAAAGAAAAAAAACUUUUAAGAUGAAAUCCUGAUGGGAUUGAAAAUCAAUUAAUCAAUCACACAGACCUCUGAUUCCUGGUCAUUCUGGCUCAGAAUUACAGACAUAAGUGUGUGACACUGUGUUACCUUAGGGUAUAUGGACUUUUAGACCAGUAGAAUUUUAUGGAGAGAAGAAACAGUAAAGAUACAUUAGUUCAAUGUAUGCAUUAGUGUUUAAGGUAAUAAUUUUGGUGCAAAAGCAGAAUGGGCCAGAUAGACUAGUUUGCCAGGAGUUUAUGGAUCUAAUGAAAUAGUUUCAGUUGCUCAUUUAGAGAAAACAAAUGCAGAAAUAGAGACCACAGCUCUUAAUGCAACCAAAGAGAGAAAAUGCAUGCUGACUAAACGUCCACCCAUUAGGCUCCUUAUUAACAGAAAUGAGAAGUUAUUCUUUGGGGACUGUUGCUCUCCUGCUGCUCUGUCAUGGGGCUAUGGCUUCAUUUUCCAUCUAUAAACACCAAACACUGGAAGGUUGGUUGCUAAGAGAACUCACUGGGGAAACAGUUAACUGUUCAAAUGUCCCCACUUACGUGGAUAUGUGCAAAUACCACCCUCUGUUCAGAUCUGCAUGUUGCAGAAAGACACUACGUGCAGUGGACUAAAGCUGGACGCCGGAGUGUCCCACAGACCCAGGUUAGCACCCCUGCCCUGCCACUCACUAGACAUGUAACUCACAGCAAGUUCUUAAGAACUCUUUCGAAACUAUUCCUCAUGGGCAAAAAGAAAAGGAUGGCAAAGCAUGAUUUUUUAAGUGUUCACUGUGUAUACCAAUUAUGAACAAAUUGUAAAAUCCUGCUUCAUUUCAUCACCAUCAAACCAUAGGCUUAAAUUUGCUCAUAAUCCCGACAACACUGUGUGUUUGGAAACAGUGGAAACAGGAAGAACUGAGAGCGGGUCUGCAUUCAGGAUCCACGUGGCUCCAAUCAUAGGUGUGAAAAGACUCACAUAUUCCGUAGCAUCAUAGGACCCAUCAGAGUAUAACAGCUAAGAUUAUUACACAUGCUGUUCCAGUGUCCCACUCACACUGCACCACAGAAAGCUCUGCAGUGGAUCAAUUGCUGCUGUGCAGUCCCCAACAUCCGAUCCUUGCUGAAGUUUAUUGAUUAAGCUGGCUAAUACACUCCUUACACAGUUAUUUGGUACCAUAUUGAAAAUACAUUAAUUCUAAAAUAACAAACAAACAAUAACUUUCAACCUCUAUUGCUAGUUUGAGAAUAAAAUGCUCCCUUUGGUGCAGUGAGUAGUGCUCAUGAGUGACAGACAAUUUGAAUAAGAAAACUGGGCUCUUGAUUUAGAUUUUUGGCUGUCAAUUACAUUUGGAAAGUUGGGGGUAAGGUACAAGCUGCUUAGGAACCCUUAUUUCUUCCCCCUGCCCUUUUGAUAUCAUUUCUCUCUCUUCUCCUUGACCUUAGGUGGGUCAAGGAGUUGGAAUUCAAAUCACAUGAGCAAAUAGCAUUCAAAUGUACAUGAUAUAUAAGGCACUUUAGCGAUCCAAAAAAAAUUUACAAUAUAGUUUCUGUCUCAAAAAGUUUAUUGCCUUGUUUGGGGAGACAAAACAUACCACACGAAAAGUUCAUGAUACAGGAUUUAAACAAGGGCUCAACAAAUCAUAGAGGAAUUGUUAUAUAACAUGGGUUCUUCCAUUAAAUGGUAAAGGAAUGCUCUUAGCUCUAAAUACUAAAAAAAAAAAAAAAAAAAGAGAAAGAGAGAGAAAUUCAGGAACUGUCCAGGUAGGAUUGAGGUAAAGGACAGGGACGAAAUGAACUUUUUGAGAAGCAUGUAGGUGGCUAAGUCAGUUUGGAUGUUAGGAACUACACUGAGAAUCAAGAGAUGAGGAAGACCAAGGGCAAACCGAAACGAGACAGGCUGAGACAAAGCGAGAUGAGACAAAGUGAGAAGAGAUGAGACAAAGCAAGAUGACAGAAGUUUGGUGAUCAUCUUGGACAUUUUGCUAAAUUAGGUGAAAAAGGAGCAAGAAACAGGUAUCCUUAGGCAAAGGCAACCUCUGACCAAGCUUGAUGAGGGCAGAUGAGGACUGAUUCUAGCAUGAGAGGGAGGUGCAGGAGAGGCAGCUGCCCAGUAGGUCCUCAGAAGAUGGUGAAGGCACCACUCCAAAGAGUGUAGAUACAUACUGACCACAACAGAGACAGAAUGUGUGUGUGUGCACACGUACACAUGAACGAAAGAGGCUAGGGCAUCAGAGGGGAGAGGAAAUACAGGGAGAAGGGAAGUCAAGGAAAGAUGCCUGACAUUCCACAGGAGAAGCUUCUGCACAGGAGCAGUGGGGAUAACAACUCCAAGAUGCACUGGAGAGGGGUUUUUGCUAGAGAGUCAGCAUCGCAAACAAGCAGAGUACCUUUGCAUUAAGGUGCGAUUUAAAAAUAUGUUAUUAUCUAGGAUAGUGGUGCUCAACCAUGGCGAUUUUGCUCCCCAGGGAACAUUUGACAACUGGGAGACAGUUUUGGUUGCCACAGCUGGCAGUGGGGAUGGGGGUGCUAACUGCCAUCGUGUGGGUAGAGGACAGAGACGCUGCUGAACACCCAGCAGCACGCAAGAAGAUCCCACAACCUGGCUCCAGAUGUCAAUGGCACCAAGGCUGAGAAACCAAAUUUAGAGGAUCCCAGGGAAAACAGAAAAGUAUCUUAAAAAUAAACAUUACCCAGUAUUGUACAGUUGACAAAUGUUAACAUUAUGCAUUUAUUAAAAACAAAUGUAAGCAACAUUUAUUACUGUAGUUAGAAUUUUAAAAUAUGUACAUAUACUGCAGCAGACUUUUAUUUAUUUAUUUAUUUACUUAUAUGAGACAGAGUCUCGCUCUGUCGCCCAGGCUGGAGUGCAGUGGCACGAUCUUGGCUCACUGCAAGCUCCGCCUCCCGGGUUCGCGCCAUUCUCCUGCCUCAGCCUCCCGAGUAGCUUGGACUACAGGCGCCCGCCACCACACCCAGCUAAUUUUUUGUAUUUUUUAGUAGAUAUGGGGUUUCACCGUGUUGGCCAGGAUGGUCUCGAUCUCCUGACCUUGUGAUCUGCCCGCCUCGGCCUCCCAAAGUGCUGGGAUUACAGGCGUGAGCCACCGUGCCCAGCCCUGCAGCAGACUUUUAAAAAGAUAUAUUCAGCUUCAUCACCCUUUUCUUAAAAAACUGAAAUUACUUCUGUCAAAAUCAUGCCGAUGGAAAGCAAUGACAUGCUAAGCACAGUCCUUUACAGAAAUAAUUCAGAUAGAAUAAGUGGAAAAUAACCUUAAAGAAGAUUGAAAGAAGCGACAACUUAAUGAAACCCAGCUACUGGUUCCAUUUUCUAUUUAUCCUUCCAAAUUGCUAAUGAAUUCUGACCCAUUUAGUCAUGCAAAAUAUAUAUCCUGAAGAAUCUGUAUCCCUUUUGAGGUACUUAAUGGAUGUUUAGCCGGCAAGGAAAUAUGGCAUGCCUAUUAUUCACAAUAGUUGAUCUUUAAAUUGACAUUAAUAUGCCACACUUAGAGUACUGGGGAAAUUCUAGCCAAAUAUACAAAGCCGCUGCUACUAAGAUGAAAGACAUUCCACAAGGAGGAAACUGAUCUCAGAACCAGUGACCACGGCCAUGAGGGCUUCGUGGCUGCUACAGCACGUUAGCCAUAAACAAUUUCCAUCUGAGGAAGUGCAUUCAGUGCAGCUGCUGAUGCAUAGUAAAUAUUUGAUCCUAAUUGGACCUAAUGAUGAAUUUCAAUUCUGUAUUCACCAUUCUUUUAUAGGACACCAACCCAUAAACACAAAAAAUAAAAAAGGUUUUGGGGAACAUUUUUCAUUUCCUUAAGUCAUUUAAUAAUGAUGAAUUGCCUGGGAGGCUCUUUGAAAAGAUAGAUGCGGCUAGAAAGUUACUGGGAGAAUUAGAAAUUGCAUAAGGAUUCAAUGCAAAAUACUUUGUAAAAAGAAAUUUUAACUUCCUUGUUUAACUUAUUUUAAUUCAUUGAGAAAUUAAAGGUAAAAUAUACUUUAUAAAAAUAUAAUCUGGCAAACUUUAAUUUGGGUACCAAUUUGGAAUUCGAUUAAACAGGUUCAAGUCUAUUUUUAUAGAUUAUAAAAAUGCUCCUUUCAGAUAAAGUAAAAAAGAUAAUUUUGUUUUGGGAGUUAAAAGAAUCAAUGUCUGUGCAUCCUUUAGUCUCAAUAGAAUAACUCUUAUUCUAUCAGUAGGCAGAAAUGUUUAAGCAGCACUGUCCAAAAGACAUACAUGUAAUUUAAAUGCUUUUAAAUGGAAUAGAAAAGUGAAAUUCUCUGGUGUUUUUUCUUGUAUUCUUUCAAAAUCAUAGCACCAAUGGAUGUGAGUUUCUAACAUUAUUCACCUAUCUUUUUAAAAAUUUACCCCUGAAUGCUUAUACACUGCUGGUGGAGAUGUAAAUUAGGUCAACCAUUGUGGAAAGCAUUUGGUGAUUUCUGAUAGAACUUAAAACAGAACUAUCAUUGACCCAGUAAUCCCAUUAUUGGGUCUAUACCUAAAGGAAUAUAAAUCAUUUUAUCAUAAAGACACAUGCACGCAUAUAUUCAUUGCAGCAUCAUUCACAAUAGCAAAGACAUGGAAUCAACAUAAAUGCUCAUCAAUGGUAGACUUGAUAAAGAAGAUAUGGUAUAUACACACCAUGGAAUACCAUGCAGCCAUAAAAAAGGACAAGAUGAUGUCCUUUGCAGCAACAUGGAUGGAGCUAGAGGUCAUUUUCUAAGCAAACUAACACAGGAGAAGAAAACCAAAUUCUACAUGUUCUCAAGUAUAAGUGGGAGCUAAACAUUGAGUACAUAUGGACACAAAGAAGGGAAUAACAAACACCACAGCCUACUUGAGGGUGGAAGGUGGGAGGAGGUGAGGGUUGAAAAACUACCUAUCAAGUACUAUGCUUAUUACCUGGGUCAUGAAAUAAUCUGCACACAAACCCCCCAUAACACACAGUAACCCCCGUAACAUGCUAUCAAUCUAUCUAUAUAACAAACCUGCACAUGUACCCCUGAACUUAAAAUAAAAGUUAAAAGAAUAAUAAAAACAGAAAGUUUACCCUUGAUAACACGUUUUAUGUAUAAUCACUAAAUCUACUAAGGCACAUUUGCAUAUUAUAUUAUAGAGUCUGCUAGCUCUACAGUUUUUCCAACUGUGUACAGUCGGCCAACUACCAUAACCCACAUCUUCCAAAUCCUAGUGGCUUAACAAUGGAAAAUGGAAUAUCCAGUGCAGCUCAGUGGAGUGUGGGGUGGGGGGCUGUGUUCCAAACAGCCAUUUAGAAAUGAUGCUCCUUGCAGCUAUUACUCCACCAUACCAUGGGGUCUCACAGUCCUUCACAUCCCCUGAGUCCAGCUGUUAGCUGAGAGGAGCGAGAAUGUACAGGAUCAGGUAUGGGUUUCAUGAGGCAGACCUGGAAGGGCAAUACAUCACUUCUACGAGCCAGAAAUUGUCACACGAUUCCUUCCAACUGCAGAGGAGGCUGGGGAAUGUAAUCUACCUGUGUGCCCAGGAGGAAGGGAAAUGGGCUUUGUGAAAAUGUGCAGCAUUAUCUCUGACAAACUGGCAGGAAAAAACCCACUAAUGUCAUAUCUUUAUAUACCUGAGAGAUGUAUCAUCAAUGACCAAUUCUCUGCCCUUGGCAGAAUGCCGAUUGGAAAUAUAGCUUUGGACAGGGCCAAUAUUAGGCUACGUCAAGAUGACCAGCAUGUGUCCUGGCAAGCUGACAACAGACUCUGUCAAACAGUCAGCAUGGCCAGAUUACCCUCCUGGUCUUCCAGGCAAUCAUGCUCCUCUUCCCACUUUGGGACUGACACCUUUGCUUCCCAUCGCAAGCACAGCCAAUUCACUGAAAAGAGUUGACUAGUGUCACUUGCAUUUUCAUCUGAAUAAGGGAAGAGUCACUGUCACUUGGAAUGUGACCAUAGACUCCACUAUCCUUAGACUACAUCAAAAUUAUGCUCCUUUAAACUAUUUGGAGGUAAAAGACACAAGAAAAUAAUAGGCACCAGAAGCAUACACAAAUGUGAGAUGUUUGGCAUGGAAGACAGUUUUCUACUCAUAAAAUACACAACUUGAAAGUUGGUAUAAAUAUCAGAUCCUGAAUCCUGCCAGCCACAUUUUUACUGGCAGGCAUAGCAGGAGACAGCACAAUGAAAAUUCUCAUAGAGGUUGGAAGUAGCAACAAGUCUUGAAAACUCAUUUGACUAUCAAGGAGGGCUAGACCACACAUUAACUCAGACCACAAAGGCUAAAGGUCUCACUUAGACUCUCUUAUCACUCAGCAUUUAGAACCAGAAGAAUAAUCACAUUCAUUCUUUCAAGACUUUCCCUUUAACUAUACAUAAGAAAGGAAAUGUCUUUACAUUCCUCAUAUCUCACUUGGCAUAAAAUCUAAUGUUUGUUCAUCUCACUUAUCUUAAUCCCAUACCUCCUCAUGUUUAUUAGAAGAAAAAAAUGUAACUCUGCAUGUCAGAAAACAGAUCUGAAGUAAAUAUCAGUUAAAAUGCAAAACAAAAAGCAAAAGAGGUCUCAGAUUUUUACAAAUGUUGUUUUAUAGAAACCAUAAAAUUGAGGUAACUUGAUUUAAAACAAGUGAAGACAUCCAAGAAUUUUCAUAGUAUGCAAGUGAUCUGGACUGGUGGUUGGCAGCAUUGACAUUAAAUCAGCUGAAUUUUCAUUGACAGCUCAUUAGAAAGAUGUUCCAAGAAAAUCGAAUACAAGAUGCUCAACAGAAGCUCUUCUCUAUGCAGUUCAUAACUGUUAUUUUAUGUCCUUACAAGUCAUGACUCAUAUUAGAACACGUAACUCUGUAAAAUUUAAAGAUUUUUAUAAAUCGCAUGAAAAAUUUCCCCUUAGUAUAGCUAUAAUUUUGCUGUUUAUGUCACAUGGAUUUUUAAUUACAUUUUCCAAACACGAAGGCAGUCAAUUUGAUAAGGAGAAUAUUUCACAAAAUUCACUCUUCUGUUCUAGGAUCUUGGUUCUAGGUAACUCAUUCUCCAGAAAGAAAUCAUAUCAGUCAGUUCACAAAAGAAAAAAAUAUUUAAGCCACCUAAAAACUCAAGUACUAUUCAUUGUUAAUUUUGUCUGGAUCUUUACAUUACCUUAACUAUAUGGUCAGUCUAUAAAAAUGUAUCUGUACAUAUGCUUACAGGUAAUAUGUAAUAUAAGUAACAUCCAGGGAUGGAUCCUGAAGCGGGCUUCCAUUUUUUUUUGGCAUUUGUAUUUUAAUGAAGGUUAAUAAAAGCCAAAUUACAGCCAACUGUUAAAGCUUUUUUUUUUUUUUUUUUUAAUUCUAUGGUAUAACAAAAUCAGUUCCAGGUUUUUUUCUGAACAAAUGAUCCUUUGGUCUUUCCCGUGGCAUGCUCCUAAAACAACUAAAACAACCCUCUACGUCUAAUCAGUCACCUAAGAUAUCGAGUGGCAAGUCUUUCACAUUUGCUGCUUAUAAUUCCUGAAUGGUCCAUAUUGAGUAUUUUCAUUUCUGGGUAAGGGAAAAAGCAUUUUGGUCCAUUAAUUCACCCGCUCGCUCCUGGAGGACGUUAACCAAUUCUGCUAUCACAAAGACGUGAGUGGCAUCAAUGUCUUGCAUGAUGAACUUCGCAGGCUUCCAUUUUUGUUCACUUUGGGAUGGUUUUCCUGUCGAACUGCGUGGAAAAGCAGGAAGCACACUGUCCACUGUAGGGGUUCCUGGUCCAGCAGAAGACUUUCAGAUAUUGUCAAGUUUAGUCCACUUCUUUGGAUCUCAGUGGCUUUUAUUCUGACAUAAGAUAUUUAGAUGUUGCAAGCCCCUCCAAGGAACACUAUUUUAUAAACAGAAACAUCCAGUUGUGUGGCCAUUUCAUAAUUAGCUUCUGAAAUGGACAGGAAAUGCACCUAUGUGAAGGAGGCAGAGCAGGGCAAAUGCCUUUACUGCUUUUCAAAUUUUGAUUUCCGGGUAGGAAACACAACUAAACCUCCUAUCAAUUUUUAGUCUUUACCUGUACAUUUCUAACUUUUAGAGAUUUCUGUUAAUGUUCCUUUUUCUUGUUAACUUUGUAUUUGAUAUUCAAGAAACGUUAGAAAUGAAUGCCUGUAUAACAUAAUUUCAAGAUAUUAAAAUAGCAUUUAUCAUUAAGGCCACUUGCUUUAUACCAACAUCACAAUUCCAUUUUAAGAGUUAUUCCAUGUCCUGGGAAAUUAAAUCACUGUCUCAACUCCUUCCAGGUGACAUAAGAAGACAUGGAGGCAUGAUGGUCUAGCAGAGAGAAGCCUAGGUGGUAUGGAUUGUUCCAUGUUGUGGAACAUAUUACAGAGACAAGGGUAUACAUUAGUUCAGCAAUUUCGAGUUCUUAAAACAUCUGCUUUCUCUCCAGCUAGAUCUAUACAACUGGAUGGAGAAGAUCAGGCUUAGGUGUUCUGUAAAAUUUAAAAAUGAGACCCCUAAUGGCAGCUUUCCUAUUUUACUCAUAUUUUUGGAAUAUUUUCAAGCAAUUGCUGAUACAAUCUGGUGAGCCACUGAUGGAAUUGAGUGUAAGAAAUGGAAACUGCUAUGGAUUGUUAACAUAGAGACUGAUGACCAGAUUACAGGUGCAUAUAUUUUGUUUAUCUAGAGUUGUGUGGAGGCUGCUGUUCAGAGCAUUGCUGACACCAGGGCAUGAAACUAGUGACACAGUUAAUGAGGCUGGUGAUGAAGAAACUCUCGGGUCCUAACCGAUAAUUUCACAUACCUAGUAAAUCAGCAUUAUUUCAUUUGAGUUACACUUGACUUUUUAAAAUUAAAUAUCAUGCGAAAGACUUUCCAGAAUUACAGCAUUCCACCAAAUUGCUCUAGCCAGGACCCCAUUGAGGUCCAUAUUGUAAAAUUAUCAGGUUAUAUCUAAGCCAUCAUCUUUCUUGAUUGCACCUCCCCCUCUGACAUAGUUUCUUCUCUUGGCUGUCAGCACACUGUGCCCGCUUGCCUUCCUCCUAUCUCCCUGGGCAUGCCUUCUCAGUUUCAUUGAUAGGGUUCUCCUCCUCCUCCUGGCCUCUCAAUCUUGGAGGUUUUUAGCCUUGAAGUUUCUUAGCCUUUUUGUCCUCUUUCUGCACUCACUGCCUCAUUCAGUCUCAAGGCUUUAAACACCAUGGAGACCCAGCCAUCUCUUGCCGUCUCCUCCAUUUCCACCCAUUCCAGGCACCUUCCUUCCUCACCUGGCCGUUGCAAUAGCUUCCUAAUUAGUCUCCAGCUUCCACCUUCCCCUUCUUACCACCUACUCCCUUCAGUGCAAAAGCCUCAACCUCUGGCACUCACCCUUUCUUUCUCUUGGUUGCAGCUAUCCUGGCCUCCUUGCUGUGCCUCAUACUGGAAGGCCACUCACACUUUAGGGCAUUUGCAGAGGCAGUGCCUUCUGCCCCCAGAUGGGUAACCCUAUGGGCAACCCCCUUCAACUUCCUUGCUCAACAUUUGAAACUCCAAGCUGCACUGUCCUCAACACAUUCUCCAGAUCCUCUUUACCCUGCUAUGUUUUGAGCCCCUUUUACUCUCUUACCUACUGUAUAAUCUCCUAACAUGUUUACCUUUUACUGUGUGUUCUGCCCAUGGGAAUUUAAGCUCUGUGGGGGCAGGGAUUUUUACCAAGGUUGUUCACUGAUGUGUCUCAAGCGCUCAGAACAGUCCUUUGCCUUUGGACAGUGCUCGGAUUUGCAUGAGUGAAUGACUGUGCUCUCUCCAGAGUGAUGAGGAUGUCAGGAUUGCUAGGUUUAGAAAUGAAGCACAUCCUAUAGUAUGACAGAGCCUGCAGAGGAGAUAACAGCUUCUCGCUUAAAGAUAUGGAGUAGGCGUUAAAAAUGAUUUCUGCCCAAUGUAAGAGGAGGAUUUUCCAAUUACCAACCAGAAGGAGUUGCUUGCUCUUGCCUCAGUGAUUCUCACAAUACCAUAUGCUAUCAAGUUCCAUUGCCCUCUUUGUACAUGUGAGGGUAAGGUGCUCCAUUGGAUGUAUCUUGAAACAGAACAGAGUUUGUGUAUGUGAGGGGGGUGUGUACCUUUUUCUAAGGAUUGAGCUGGAUGACAAAGGAUAUUGCAUAUUUAACGGGUAGGGAGAACGCAGGUGCAACAAUUCACAAAAAUCUCAUAAUAGUGAAUGAUGGUGAAUGAAUAGAGAAGACCUAAGAAAUCUCUCAAACGGGUGAGUUCUCUAGGAAUUGAAAGGGUUUUUUUUUUUUCUGUUACAGUUUUAAAAGAAUGUGGAAAUGGAAUAAUUUGAUGAUAUUAAGCUGUGGUUUUGAUGAAUGCUCUAAGAAUCAUCCCCAGUGAUAAAUAUUCAAAGAUAAAUGGUGAUGUUUUAGAUAGAAGUCAAUCGUUAUUCUAUUGCCUGUAACAGGGUUCCUUAGUUAUAAUUCUGUUAGUUGCUCUCAUGGUCUUAUGUUACUAAUAUAGUCAUUAUUUCAAAGCUUAUCACAUUCUGUAAAAUCCUGUAGUCAUUAGCAAUAAUCUAAGCCAACGUUAGCAAUCCAUUAAGGUUAGACAUUUAACUUCUAUAAAAUACUCUAUGCCACAGCACUUUCAUAUUCCUAUGGGGCAAAUUUCCAUCGUAGACUCCACGUUGGCUCCUUGAAAUGGUGUGUACUCAAGGAUAGCCCAGCUUAGGGGACUCCAAAUGCCAUUUCAAUUUUAACUUUAUACAACAGAUUCUCGUUCUCCAUCCAUGCUUAGACUUCCCAGCUCUCAGGUUCAACUCUCAGAUCAGGAACAACCAUAUGUACUAUGUUUUGUUUCCAUCGAAUUGGCAGUGACUCAUUAUUUAAUUACUCUCCAUGUGUUGGCCAAAUAUGAGGAAAGAAUACUCUGAAAAAUUAACAAAAUGUGGCUGGCAUUACAGCCAUGCAGUGCCUCAUGCCUGUAAUCCCUGCACUUUGGGAGGCUGAGGCAGGUGGAUCACCUGAGGUCAGAAGUUCAAGACCAGCCUGGUCAACAUGGUGAAACCCCAUCUCUACUAAAUAUACAAAAAAUUAGCUGAGUGUGGUGGUGGGCACCUGUAAUACCAGCUUCUCAGGAGACUGAGGCAGGAGAACCACUUGAACCUGGGAGGCGGAGAUUGCAGUGAGCUGAGAUCGCGCCAUUGCGCUCCAGCCUGGGCAACAAGAGUGAAACUUUGUCUCAAAAAAAAAAAUUAACAAAAUGCAUCUGUAUAGGCAUCCUAUGUCUGCAUAAUGCGUCUACACAGGCUUUGGGAUGCAGCAGCAUUGGAUAGAACAAUACUGAUCCCUGGCAAAGAUACACCACAAAAAAGCUCGGCUGCCUUUCACAAAUACGAGUUCAUGAACACGUCCAGGAAGAUAAAAGUGUGCAGUGCAUUAAAAACACAUUUCCUUCUCAUUAGUUGCAUGAGGAUAUAAAAAUUAAAUCAAAUCUGCUUUGUUGCCAAUUUCAAGAAUGUGACUGAGGACAAGGAGCAGAAGAAAGCAGUGUCACCAAUCCUACUCGGAAUAAUCUGUCACCAUGUUAGCAGAGCAGAAAACAUUUCAUUUUAAAUGAUUGCUAUUUCAGUUACAUAAUAAAAGUUAAUAGAUACAACCCCAAACAUAAGAUUUAAUUCAUUCAGACACACAUAUACUUGUGUUAGUCUAUGAAGGAAAUAUAUCUUUUAUGUCAAAAUUAUGUACUUCUUUGAAAUGUAGUUCAAAGUGAAGAAGAAAACUUUAAACAUUUUCCUUCACUUUUAACUCCUUCCAUGCCCCAAAGCAAACACCUGAACAUAUGUUAAAAUACUUGAAUUCAUAGCUGCCAUCAGUAAUGUCUUUAUUCAUUCAGAGAUUUUACUUCAAUAUCCCUCUGUUAGACUUUUUCCUGAAUGUUGAUCUUGAAAAUCUGUACCGAAAGCUUAAGUUUUUCUCCAAAGUCACAUUCAACUUCCAUAGAUCAUAUCAGAAUAAUACUCCUUUGAUAUUUACAUAGAAGCAAAUACAACAAUAUCUCUAUAAUCCAUGGAUAAUGUAUAUAUGCUACUAUAGAUAGCUCUCAUUCUGAAGAUAUUUUUCCCAAGGCACAAAGGCCAUCACAUAAAUUCACCUGCAUUUUUAGAGUGGAUGUUCAGGGCGAUGUCAUUGGAGAAAGGCUAUGCUCCCAGUGACUGUCACGGACAAGUACAGAGUCUUGAGUAGGCUCUCAACAAAUGAUUGUUGUGCUUAUUAAUUGAAGAAGAAUGAUCUUAUAUGUGAAUCAGAAAGGAAGGAAAUUAGGAGUAAGUGACAACGAAGCAAGUGAUUUGUGAACAUUGUGUCCGAAAGAGAAUCUGAGGAAAAGGGUGUUUUGAGGUUAGUAGCAGGGCUGACAUUGAAUCUGAGUUCCAUGCCCAGCAGUGAGCCACACCCUUUCCUUACUAAGGAAUCUGGAAAUGUUGCCAGCCCUGCCUUUUAUCUUUGAAAACACAGGGCUAUUUAUGUCUAAACACAAUGCACUGAAUUUACCUUCAUUGGUUGACACAGUUAUCUUUCCUGAUCCUCAAAACCUCAACAGACAGCAAAGUGCACAACUUGCUAUGUAAUAGAAGUUUGGUAGAUGGGAAGUCUACAUGCAAAGCUGAUUUAUUUUGGCAAGAUAACUCAGCCGCAAGGGGUUACACGGAAGGCAGAGAGAAUGGAUGUAAAGUGUAGUCAGGAUACUACUGAGAAAUCCUAGUCAAGGAUGUUGCAAUAGCCUGUGAACUAGGAAAGGAGUGAUAUUGAAGACGUGUAUGUAAGUAGAAUCAAUGAGUAGGGACUAAGUUGGUAUGAAGAAAAAUUCGAAUGCUUGUCUAAGAUUCUAAUUCUCAGUAACUGGGUGGCACCAUCGUCAAGAUCCAGCCCUGGGAAGGAAGAGCAGGGUGGGAGUUGGAAAGUGAGUUUUAGACGCAUUGAAUUUGAGGUACUCAGAAGACAUUCAAAGGGAAUGUUCACCAGCUUCUUGGAAAUGUGAGUCUGGAACUUUCACAAGAGAUCAGGGAUAGAGAUUAGGGAUUAUCGUGAAGGAAGAAACAGGUGAACUCAGGGAAGAUUACAGAGAUUUAGACGAGAGGGACAGAACCCAAGGGAGUAACUUUAAGGUUGGGCAAAAAAAAAAAAGGGCACCUGUAAGUGGAAUUCAGAAGAUGUAAUCAGAGAGACUGAAGGUAAAUCAGAAGCUUCCAGUGUCACAGAAGGCAAAGGGGAACAGAUUUCAUGAAGAUGCGAGAGUCAGCAGCAUGUAAUGCCAGUAAUCUAAAAGACUUGUCUCCACAUUUGUUUCCAAUACCGCUUUAUGUUAAUUAUGUAAUAUCUGGUUUCUCAGCUUUAGUAACAAUGACAUGAGAAAAUUCAAAAUUAUUUUUUGUGUCAUUUCUCUCAGUGUGUUUAUUAUUAUUUAAAUAUAUUUAUAUGCUUUCAUGAACUUUACUUAUGAACGAGUUAAGAACAUGGCAUCCCAAAAUACACCACUCUGGCAUAUUCAGUAUUUUUAGUUAAAGGCACUUAAGAAAAACCAGGUGAGGUCGGGCGUGGUGGCUUAUGCCUGUAAUCCCAGCACUUUGGGAGGCUGAAGCGGGUGGAUCACCUGAGGUCAGGAGUUCGAGACCAGCCUGGCCAACAUGGUGAAAUCCCAUCUCUACUAAAAAUACAAAAAUUAGCUGGGUGUGGUGGCAGGUGCCUGUAAUCCCAGCUAUUCAGGAGGCUGAGGCAGGAGAAUCACUUGAACCCGGGAGGCGGAGGUUGCAGUGAGCCGAGAUUGCGCCACUGCACUCCAGCCUGGGUGACAGAGAGAGACUCUCUCAAAAACAAAAACAAAAACAAAAACAAAAAGCAGGUACAAGAAGAUCACUCUGACCUUCCUUCUGUUUCUGAAAAGCAGGAGAUGACAUUCCCAUGUGAAAGGUGUCCUCCCUUGGCCAGGUGGGAGGCAUGAUUCCUAUGGGCAAGGACCAGAAGCUGAGGCUGAGGGAAACCUGUACCACCUGCUAUACUGGCCCUUCCUUCCCAGCCAUUCUCCUCCAAUCACCUGCCCUGGCCCAAGCCCCCGACCCCCCACCUCAUCACAUUUCUGCAAUUUACUGCUCUUUGUCUAAUUCCUUAUAUAAGUGGUCAAUACAAACUGCAUCUUUGGGUCUUCACAAAUUCUGAAGGUUUUCAUGCCA
rnacentral:lncRNA from 1 species